UACGGAGGGUGCAAACGUUGCUCGGAAUCAUUGGGCGUAAAGCGAACGUAGGCGGCAUUGCAAGUCGGGUGUGAAAGCCCUCGGCUCAACCGAGGAAGUGCAUUCGAAACUGCAACGCUUGAGUGUCGGAGAGGAUAGCGGAAUUCCCGGUGUAGGAGGUGAAAUUCGUAGAUAUCGGGAGAACACCAGUGGCGAAGGCGGCUAUCUGGACGAACACUGACGCUGAAGUUCGAAAGCGUGGGGAGCAAACAGGG
rnacentral:rRNA from 1 species